UAGGGAAUCUUCCGCAAUGGACGAAAGUCUGACGGAGCAACGCCGCGUGAGCGAUGAAGGCCUUCGGGUCGUAAAGCUCUGUUGUUAGGGAAGAACAAGUAUCGGAGUAACUGCCGGUACCUUGACGGUACCUAACCAGAAAGCCACGGCUAACUACGUGCCAGCAGCCGCGGUAAUACGUAGGUGGCAAGCGUUGUCCGGAAUUAUUGGGCGUAAAGCGCGCGCAGGCGGUCCUUUAAGUCUGAUGUGAAAGCCCACGGCUCAACCGUGGAGGGUCAUUGGAAACUGGGGGACUUGAGUGCAGAAGAGGAAAGCGGAAUUCCACGUGUAGCGGUGAAAUGCGUAGAGAUGUGGAGGAACACCAGUGGCGAAGGCGGCUUUCUGGUCUGCAACUGACGCUGAGGCGCGAAAGCGUGGGGAGCAAACAGGAUUAGAUACCCUGGUAGUCCACGCCGUAAACGAUGAGUGCUAAGUGUUAGAGGGUUUCCG
rnacentral:rRNA from 1 species